rnacentral:rRNA from 1 species
UACGAAGGGGGGCUAGCGUUGCUCGGAAUCACUGGGCGUAAAGCGCACGUAGGCGGACUCUUAAGUCGGUGGUGAAAUCCUGGAGCUCAACUCCAGAACUGCCUUCGAUACUGAGGAUCUCGAGUCCGGGAGAGGUGAGUGGAACUGCGAGUGUAGAGGUGAAAUUCGUAGAUAUUCGCAAGAACACCAGUGGCGAAGGCGGCUCACUGGCCCGGUACUGACGCUGAGGUGCGAAAGCGUGGGGAGCAAACAGG